rnacentral:rRNA from 1 species
AUGACCUAUGGGACGCAGCAGUGGGGAAUAUUGCACAAUGGGGGAAACCCUGAUGCAGCAACGCCGCGUGAAGGAAGACGGUUUUCGGAUUGUAAACUUCUGUUCUUAGUGAAGAAAAAUGACGGUAGCUAAGGAGCAAGCCACGGCUAACUACGUGCCAGCAGCCGCGGUAAUACGUAGGUGGCAAGCGAUGUCCGGAAUUACUGGGUGAAAAGGGAGCGCAGGCGGGAA